CAGGAUGGCACAUGUUGCAUCAGUGAAUUCAACUUCAAGGAAGAUUUGGCCUGGCUGAGCUGGUUACUGGAAACCGCACUGACCCUUUGGCUGGGGGCAAUUCCACCGCACGGAGCUUGUGUUUGCUUUUCUCAGCUCCACUCCCUGCACUACGUUGCCUGUAGCCUAUUUAAAGCAGGGCGGCAGGAAGACCACAGACUCAUCCUUCUCCCGGUUAGGAAUCUGCUGGCGAGAGACGCGGGACCUACAGAGCCGCUGUGAAGUCCAUCAUGACGCAACUCCCCCUCCUGAUGCUGCUCCUCUCCAUGGCCUCAACCGCCCACCUGUGCAAACCCCGGCUAUUACGAUCUUCAAGCUGGAGACCUGUCUGUGUGGCACGUCCCCAACAGGGCACCGCUGAGAAAGUGGAGGGACUUGGCCAUCCUGAGGUACCACACUGAGACCGGCUUCCUCUCAUCCGAAGGUGG